rnacentral:rRNA from 1 species
GACGAACGCUGGCGGCGUGCUUAACACAUGCAAGUCGAACGGAAAGGCCCUGCUUUUGUGGGGUGCUCGAGUGGCGAACGGGUGAGUAACACGUGAGUAACCUGCCCUUGACUUUGGGAUAACUUCAGGAAACUGGGGCUAAUACCGGAUAGGAGCUCCUGCUGCAUGGUGGGGGUUGGAAAGUUUCGGCGGUUGGGGAUGGACUCGCGGCUUAUCAGCUUGUUGGUGGGGUAGUGGCUUACCAAGGCUUUGACGGGUAGCCGGCCUGAGAGGGUGACCGGCCACAUUGGGACUGAGAUACGGCCCAGACUCCUACGGGAGGCAGCAGUGGGGAAUAUUGCACAAUGGGCGGAAGCCUGAUGCAGCAACGCCGCGUGCGGGAUGACGGCCUUCGGGUUGUAAACCGCUUUCGCCUGUGACGAAGCGUGAGUGACGGUAAUGGGUAAAGAAGCACCGGCUAACUACGUGCCAGCAGCCGCGGUGAUACGUAGGGUGCGAGCGUUGUCCGGAUUUAUUGGGCGUAAAGGGCUCGUAGGUGGUUGAUCGCGUCGGAAGUGUAAUCUUGGGGCUUAACCCUGAGCGUGCUUUCGAUACGGGUUGACUUGAGGAAGGUAGGGGAGAAUGGAAUUCCUGGUGGAGCGGUGGAAUGCGCAGAUAUCAGGAGGAACACCAGUGGCGAAGGCGGUUCUCUGGGCCUUUCCUGACGCUGAGGAGCGAAAGCGUGGGGAGCGAACAGGCUUAGAUACCCUGGUAGUCCGCGCUGUAAACGGUGGGUACUAGGUGUGGGGUCCAUUCCACGGGUUCCGUGCCGUAGCUAACGCUUUAAGUACCCCGCCUGGGGAGUACGGCCGCAAGGCUAAAACUCAAAGGAAUUGACGGGGCCCCGCACAAGCGGCGGAGCAUGCGGAUUAAUUCGAUGCAACGCGUAGAACCUUACCUGGGUUUGACAUGGAUCGGGAGCGCUCAGAGAUGGGUGUGCCUCUUUUGGGGUCGGUUCACAGGUGGUGCAUGGCUGUCGUCAGCUCGUGUCGUGAGAUGUUGGGUUAAGUCCCGCAACGAGCGCAACCCUUGUUCACUGUUGCCAGCACGUUAUGGUGGGGACUCAGUGGAGACCGCCGGGGUCAACUCGGAGGAAGGUGGGGAUGACGUCAAGUCAUCAUGCCCCUUAUGUCCAGGGCUUCACGCAUGCUACAAUGGCUGGUACAGAGAGUGGCGAGCCUGUGAGGGUGAGCGAAUCUCGGAAAGCCGGUCUCAGUUCGGAUUGGGGUCUGCAACUCGACCUCAUGAAGUCGGAGUCGCUAGUAAUCGCAGAUCAGCAACGCUGCGGUGAAUACGUUCCCGGGGCU